UGGGGAAUUUUGGACAAUGGGCGAAAGCCUGAUCCAGCAAUGCCGCGUGUGUGAAGAAGGCCUUCGGGUUGUAAAGCACUUUUGUCCGGAAAGAAAUCCUUGGCUCUAAUACAGUCGGGGGAUGACGGUACCGGAAGAAUAAGCACCGGCUAACUACGUGCCAGCAGCCGCGGUAAUACGUAGGGUGCAAGCGUUAAUCGGAAUUACUGGGCGUAAAGCGUGCGCAGGCGGUUUGCUAAGACCGAUGUGAAAUCCCCGGGCUCAACCUGGGAACUGCAUUGGUGACUGGCAGGCUGGAGUAUGGCAGAGGGGGGUAGAAUUCCACGUGUAGCAGUGAAAUGCGUAGAGAUGUGGAGGAAUACCGAUGGCGAAGGCAGCCCCCUGGGCCAAUACUGACGCUCAUGCACGAAAGCGUGGGGAGCAAACAGGAUUAGAUACCCUGGUAGUCCACGCCCUAAACGAUGUCAACUAGUUGUUGGGGAUUCAUUUUCCUUAGUAACGUAGCUAACGCGUGAAGUUGACCGCCUGGGGAGUACGGUCGCAAGAUUAAAACUUAAAGGAAUUGACGGGGUCAUAGCUG
rnacentral:rRNA from 1 species